AAAAAAAGGCUUAUUGAAGAAUCCCAAAGUUUCUAUCAAAUGAAAACUGAACCCACAACAGCGGUUACUAACUUUAAGCCCAAAAGUUUUCACCCUGAUUCUUAAGCACGAGGCACAGAUCUGUUUCUCUCAAUGUAGGCCACCUCAAUGCAAUGAAGAGUUGUUGACGGAUUGCAGUAGAUGAGGAUAGCAAAGGGUCAUAGUACAGGAGUCAAUAAUAAUCCAUUUCCCUUGGGUAAUGCAGUCAUGGACAAGGCAUACUAGGAGUUGUUCAUUAGGCAUACUGAUGGAACUCCAAUUAUUUUAGAUACUGAAUAGCAACGUGUAAUUCUAUGCUAAAAAACUGCAAUCAAGAGUUGACCGCUUGAGGAAAUAUUAUUAUCUAUCUUUGUCACGUACUGGGGGGACCUUAAAAUGGGGUACAAGUUUAUCAAGGUUAAAUUGCAAUUGUAGAUAAUUCUUGGGUGAUGGCUGGUUUCGUGAAGAUGAAUAUUAUUGUUGAUCAACUGAAAUUUGGCAUCAGGCGGUUCAGAUUUCUUUGACACGCUUCCAGAAAGAUCUCUUGCUUUCAAUUUGUUCAGUUCAUGGAUUGAGAUACAUGGUUCACUUUGUAGAAGGAAAUGAUUUUAAGAACUUUUUUUUUUUUAGUUUACAGUUGCACUCACCAUUAAUAUGUGUGUUCACUUUGGACGAACCGUCGUUCACUCAGAUGUCGCAGCAAAAGCAGAAAAAUAUGGUUUCACAACUAUAGACAGGCCAAAAGGUUUCUUGGUAUUACCAGUUGCUCCGGUACGAGAAUAAAUUGGGAGUUUUUGGGUCCUCCUACGGUAGUAAAGAGACCAUUGAAGAAAAAUAUAUGCUACCAAAUUUACUCUUUGCUGUCAAAUAUUUUUUUUAAUUUUUAAAACCCCUCCCCCAAGAGCUCCCUCCUUUGCUCCCUUGAUGACUCGACGCGCUUACCAUCUGAGCAGCCCCCUCUUGUCUACUAUCAAAGAAUUUAAUGUCUGUGUGAAAUUACAUGCUACUGAGAAGUAUUGCACACUGUUAUCUUGAAACAGGGGUUAAAACAGCUAAUGAGAAAUUUUACUAAGUUCUAUUGAUGGAACAAGGGUUAAAACAACUGGUGAGAAAUUUAACAGAGUUCUAUUGAGAAAUGAACAAUCAAAUGUUUGCUUUAAAUGGAUAAGCUGAAUAGUUAUUUCUUCCAAGUUUUUUAUUAGACUGUGCAGCAGAUAACAUGACAUAUUUAGUUGUGUUAUUUGAGUAGUUUAAUGUUUAUCUUCUGUGUUGCUUUUAGGAUACUGAGAAUGUUUGUGAAUUGGCAGAUGUUUACAAACGGAAUGAGGGAGUGUGUUUCUUCAAUGAUCUGCUUAAAAGAUGUUCCUCUUGAAGCUUUCAAGAUUAUGCUAGAAUUCAUGUACAAUGGGGAACUUAGCCGAUGACUUCAGAAGUGCUGCAAAAUACUUAAUCUUGCGAUUUUCCUCUCUUUACAUACAUAUUCCUCAGACUACAAUUAAAAGAAUGAAAUGAUGAUGUAGUUCUGACCUGUGAGCAUAAGCAGAGCCAUUUUAUGACAAUGAGAUAUUAAAUUAGUACCUUUCAUCUGUAUACUAUAUGCACCUCUUGGAAAAAGUUCAAGAGCUUUUUCUAGUAUGCCAUGUUUAGUGCACGAGAAGAAGACAGUUUUGGCAGUUUUUGUAUUAUGAUAUAUGAGAUUACUGUUGAUUUUUGUUCCAGGACUCAAUGAGCCCAAUUCUUCCAGUGAUAUCAUUUGUAUCCUCUUGUAAACUCAUCAACCACCCUGUGAGAGGAUAUUUUAUUAUUUAGGAGCCACAGUUGAUGGGACGAACAGAGUGGGACGAACACAGGUAUUUCUGUUGUGGAUUCAUUUAGGGGUAAAAUGGUAAACCGGUGUGGACCCAGCCUGUUAACACAUGUAUUGCCACACGUACUACUGGUUCAGCUAAUUUCUUUCGUGUAUGAUUUCUCCGAUGCCGGUGUUUGUGACCUAAUUCUCUGUUUUCACAUUCCACUGCUCCAGUCUAGGGUUUUCAAAUUUUCCUCUGCUUCUCUCUCUCUUCUACACUCUUUCAAAAUAUCAUCUCUCUUCUUAAAAUUCUUUGUUCUUGCGGUGACUGUUUAGGGGCGUAGAAGAUGACGGCAAAUGUGAUUUUGAAAUGAAGUUUUGUUUAAGCCAAGGAAGCUGAGGAGAUUUGCAACCCUUUGUUCAUUUGCUCUAGAUCUCUUUCAUUUAUUCAUUUGUUCCACCAGUAAGCAUUCAAAUUUGAGCUUUAGAUAUAUACUUGAGAGAAACUGAUAAUUUGCUGGCGCCUUCUCUUAAAGAGUUGAUUGGAUUAGUUUCAGCCGACUUACAAAGCUAAAGUGGGGGAAGAGAAGAUUUUAUUGAGACUAGAAAUGGACCGUGCAAUUUGACAGAGUUUCAGGUGGUGAGAGCAGAGGAAUCACAGACAAUUGCAGAUAUAGAUGCCCAUAACUUAAGGGAAAUUACAAAAGAACAGUAUCUGUUUCAGUGGGGGAAGAGAAGAUUUUAUUGAGACUAGAAAUGGACAGUGCAAUUUGACAGAGUUUCACGUGGUGGGAGUAGAGGAAUCACAGACAAUUGCAGAGAUAGCACGAGGCAAAGAGGAUGAACAUGUGGUCUCUACUUUCACAUUAAAGUGAAAAUCCUUCUUAAUAUAUGUCUUGGGUUGGAAAAGUUGCCCAAAGUUUAUCUUAUUAACAGUGGCAAAUCAUGUUGUAAUUACAAGGAAACCCGUUUAUAUGUCUUUCCACUUAUUAAAUAUGUUCAAAGUUGUUCCCAUGAGCUUCCAACAUCAGUAGUUCAUGAUUCUUCUGUGUGUGGCUUAACAUCUAAGGGAAGUUUAAUUUGUGAUAAGAUACUAUGUUGGAAAGACUAUGUCUUUUUAUGUUAUACAGGGGUCGAAUUAACUGAUUUCUCCCCUCUUUGAUUGUUUGAUGUCAUAUAGGCUUUACACGCAUAGCUUUGCUUUUGGUGCUGGGAUCAAGCUUCUAGUUGGAUUGUGAUUGUGUUAUAUAAAAUUAUUUUCAUAGUUAAUAUACUCACACAAAAAAAAAAAAAAAAAAAAAAAAAAAAUUCUACCAUUGCUUAUAUCUUGCCACAAUCUUAAUAAUCAUCUGGACUUUAUCUUGUAGUUGGAGGCUGCUUACAUGCGACAAUGACCAGAAAAGAAACAAAGGCUUUUGAGG